rnacentral:rRNA from 1 species
UANGGUGCGAGCGUUGUCCGGAAUUACUGGGCGUAAAGGGCUCGUAGGUGGUUUGUCGCGUCGUCUGUGAAAUUCCGGGGCUUAACUCCGGGCGUGCAGGCGAUACGGGCAUAACUUGAGUACUGUAGGGGUAACUGGAAUUCCUGGUGUAGCGGUGAAAUGCGCAGAUAUCAGGAGGAACACCGAUGGCGAAGGCAGGUUACUGGGCAGUUACUGACGCUGAGGAGCGAAAGCAUGGGUAGCGAACAGGAUUAGAUACCCUGGUAGUCAAGGGCG